CCUACGGGAGGCAGCAGUGGGGAAUAUUGGGCAAUGGGCGCAAGCCUGACCCAGCAACGCCGCGUGAAGGAAGAAGGCUCUCGGGUUGUAAACUUCUUUUAAUAGGGAAGUGAAGAAGACGGUACCUCUUUAUUAAUCCACGGCUAAAUACGGGCCAGCAGCUGCGGGAAUACGUAGGUGGCAAGCGUUGGCCGGAUUUACUGGGUGUAAAGGGCGUGCAGCCGGGAAGACAAGUCAGAUGUGAAAUCCCGCGGCUCAACCGCGGAACUGCAUUUGAAACUGUUUUUCUUGAGUACCGGAGAGGUCAUCGGAAUUCCUUGUGUAGCGGUGAAAUGCGUAGAUAUAAGGAAGAACACCGGUGGCGAAGGCAGAUGACUAGACGGCAACUGACGGUGAGGCGCGAAAGCGUGGGGAGCAAACAGGAUUAGAUACCCGGGUAGUC
rnacentral:rRNA from 1 species